rnacentral:rRNA from 1 species
UACGUAGGGUGCAAGCGUUGUCCGGAAUUAUUGGGCGUAAAGAGCUCGUAGGCGGUUCGUCGCGUCGGCUGUGAAAUCCCGGAGCUCAACUCCGGGUCUGCAGUCGAUACGGGCGGACUUGAGUACUGCAGGGGAGACUGGAAUUCCUGGUGGUAGCGGUGAAAUGCGCAGAUAUCAGGAGGAACACCGGUGGCGAAGGCGGGGUCUCGUGGGCCAA